rnacentral:misc_RNA from 1 species
AAGAAAGGCACUUUUUCCGGUAGAGUAGCGUAUCUGAGAGAUUCUCUUUUACUAUCGAAAAACUAAAAUAUGAAUGUGAAAUCUGCCGGUGGAGUUGUUUCUGUGUUGUGAAAUUGUUGAAUUUGAUUAAAAUUUGUUGUGUUGAGUGAUAAUGGAGAGGGAGAAGUACUCGGAGGAAUUGAAUGUGGCUGUGAGGGUUGUGCAUUUGGCGUGUUCUCUGUCAAAAGGUGCAAAAGGGUUUGCUUGGUAAAGCAUUUGGUGAUGAUGAUGAGGUUAAGUCUAAGAUUGAUGAUUCUCUUGUUACUAUUGCAGACCAA